CAGCAGAGUCUACACAGAUAAACUCCGCGGUGUGUCUCAUUAGUCCAGGAACAGCUUGAGCUAAUCGAGGCGUGCCUCUGCCGUGCGCUGCUCAUGCCAGGGGGGUUAAAAAAAGAAAUACUCACGCCGAUCCAAGGGCUUUUUGUGGCAGUGCAGAAAUAAUAAACCCAAACACAGAGGCGAGCUCUUUCAGGAGUGAGGUGGGUGCCCGAUCGAGGUCUGAUUCUGCUGGCUUCUGUCGGGCCCCCGGAGAGCCGAGCUGUCCCAGGCGGCCCGUUCUGCAUCCCCUCCGUAGCGGCAGGCCUCUCUCCUCCAGGCCAGAGGAAGCACUGGAAUUUGAGCCCCAGGGUUUUCAACAACUAAGUCCAGUGUCCUCAGCCUCUCUCGGUCUGCAAGAGAGAGACCACAAGUAGGCAGAGAGAGAGGAGGAAGCAGGUUCCCUGCUGAGCAGAAAGCCAGAUGCGGGGCUCAAUCCCAGGACCCUGGGAUCAUGACCUGAGCCGAAGGCAAAGGCUUAACCCAAUGAGCCACCCAGGUGCC
rnacentral:lncRNA from 1 species